AAUCCAUGCAUCGAACAUUUACGCAACAAAUCCUUGAAACAUUCACAUACUUCGUACAAGUUCUCAUCUUCCAACUACUUAAAGGAUGUUAAAUCAUUUAUGAGCUU